rnacentral:rRNA from 1 species
UAGGGAAUCUUCGGCAAUGGACGAAAGUCUGACCGAGCAACGCCGCGUGAGUGAAGAAGGUUUUCGGACCGUAAAACUCUGUUGGUAGAGAAGAACGUUGGUGAGAGUGGAAAGCUCAUCAAGUGACGGUAACUACCCAGAAAGGGACGGCUAACUACGUGCCA